CACAUCUAAGGAAGGCAGCAGGCGCGCAAAUUACCCAAUCCUGACGCAGGGAGGUAGUGACAAGAAAUAACAAAGCAAACUCUUUCUGAGCUUUGCUAUUGGAAUGAGUAGAAUUUAAAUCUCUUUACGACUAUCAAUUGGAGGGCAAGUCUGGUGCCAGCAGCCGCGGUAAUUCCAGCUCCAAUAGCGUAUACUAAAGUUGUUGCAGUUAAAAAGCUCGUAGUUGGAUUUCUGUGGGGACGGAGCGGCCGGCCGCAACACGCGGUUCGAGCUAGCGCUUUCCCUACAUCCUGCCGCGAACCGUGCUACCAUUAAUUUGGUGGCGCCGGGGAUCGGCUCGAUUACUUUGAGAAAAAUAGAGUGUUCAAAGCAGGCCACAUGCCUUGAAUAAGUUAGCAUGGAAUAAUAACUAAGGACUUCGGUUCUAUUUUGUUGGUGUUCGGGACUGAAGUAAUGAUUGAUAGGGACAGUUGGGGCGGUCUGUAUUCCAAAGCGAGAGGUGAAAUUCUUAGACCUUCGGAAGACAAACAGCUGCGAAAGCGUUUCGCAAGGAUGUUCCCUUUGAUCAAGAACGAAAGUUGGGGGAUCGAAGACGAUCAGAUACCGUCGUAGUCUCAACUAUAAACUAUACCAGCUAGGGAUCGGCCAACGUUAUUUUAUACCGACUUGGUCGGCACCUUAUGAGAAAUCAAAGCAUCUGGGUUCCGGGGGGAGUAUGGUCGCAAGGCUGAAACUUAAAGGAAUUGACGGAAGGGCACCACCAGCCGUGGAGCCUGUGGCUUAAUUUGACUCAACACGGGAAAACUUACCAGGUCCAGACAUAGUAAGGAUUGACAGAUUGAUAGCUCUUUCUUGAUUCUGUGGGUGGUGGUGCAUGGCCGUUCUUAGUUGGUGGAGUGAUUUGUCUGGUUAAUUCCGUUAACGAACGAGACCCCAGCCUGCUAAAUAGCGCGCGUGAGCUUUGCUCGCGGCGAGCUUCUUAGAGGGACUAUGAUGCGCGAUAGCACAUGGAAGUUUGGGGCAAUAACAGGUCUGUGAUGCCCUUAGAUGUUCUGGGCCGCACACGGGCUACACUGGCGCCUGCAACGAGCAUAUCAGCUGGCCCGAGAGGGUCUUGGCUAAUCUUUUGAACCGGCGCCGUGCUUGGGAUUGACCUUUGCAAUUGUUGGUCAUGCAACGAGGAAUGCCUUGUAAACGCGAGUCAUCAGCUCGCAUUGAAUACGUCCCUGCCCUUUGUACACACCGCCCGUCGCUCCUACCGAUGAAUGUUCCGAUGAAAUUUUCGGAGAGCACCUGUGAACUUGGCUCUGCCUUGCGAACGGGAAGCUCAAAGUCACUUAAAUCUGAACAUUUCGAGG
rnacentral:rRNA from 1 species